AUUGAACGCUGGCGGCAGGCCUAACACAUGCAAGUCGAGCGGAGCGGCGGACGGGUGUGUAAUGCCUAGGAAUCUGCCUGGGAAUGGUGGCUAACGUCCGGAAACGGGCGCUAAAACCGCAUACUAACAGAUGAGCUUAGGUGGGAUUAGCUGGUUGGUGGGUUAAAGGCCUACAAAGUCGACGAUCCGUAACUGGUUUGAGAGGAGGAUCAGUCACACGGGAACGUAGACACGGUCCAGACUCCUACGGGAGGCAGCAGUGGGGAAUAUUGGACAAUGGGCGAAAGCCUGAUCCAGCCAUGCCGCGUGUGUGAAGAAGGUCUUCGGAUUGUAAAGCACUUUAAGUGGGGAGGCGUUACCAACAGAAGAAGCACCGGCUAACUUCGUGCCAGCCGCCGCGGUAAUUC
rnacentral:rRNA from 1 species